AUGAUGGCGUUCAGGGGGCAGAGGCCGGCGCAGUCCGAGGAGAUGUGCGACGCGGCGGCGGCCGUGGUGGCGGCGCGGCAGGGCAUGGAGCAGCCGCUCACGGCCGUGGCCGAGGCGUUCGAGGAGCUGGCGCGCGGGAUGGAGGCCGACGGCGGCGAGCUCCGCCUCGCCCCCUUCGGCGACACCUGCGCCCUCGUCUCCGUCCUCUUCAGCUCCCUCGGCAUCGCCUUCAAGUUCGCCGAGAGCGAGUACGUCACCAAGGUGAACGACCUCAUCGGGGCAUCAAAGGAGUACGCGACGCUGAACGACAUCCUGGACAAGGACGUCGAGAACGACUCCGUCAAGAAGCAGGGCAGCCAUUCCCGGAACCUGCGCCGGGUCCGGCUCGGCCUCGGCCUCAUCAAGGCCCUCUUCGAGCAGUUCCUCGCAACCGAGGGCGGCUCGUUGUAUGAUGCUGCGACGACGGCCUAUGGCCAGGUUUGCGCCCCGUUUCAUAGCUGGGCGAUCCGAAAGGCGGUUGGCGCCGGGAUGUACACUCUCCCCAGCAGAGAGCAGUUGAUAAUGAGGCUGAACGAAACUGAUUGCUCUGUGCAGAAGGAGAUGCGGAGAUACAUUGAUGCAUCUAGUCCCAUUAUAGAAUACAUCGAUAACCUGUUCCUCUCUAGGAACAUUGUCCUAGAUUGGUGA
rnacentral:rRNA from 1 species